rnacentral:rRNA from 1 species
UCCGGUUGAUCCUGCCGGACCUGACUGCUAUCGGAUUGAUACUAAGCCAUGCUAGUCUUUGUAGUAAUACAAGGCAUACGGCUCAGUAACGCGUAGUCAACCUACCCUAUGGACGGGGAUAAUCUCGGGAAACUGAGCAUAAUACCCGGCAGACCACUUAUCCUGGAAUGGUUAGUGGUUAAAAUGAUUCGUCGCCAUAGGAUGGGACUGCGGCCUAUCAGCUUGUUGGUGAGGUAAUGGCCCACCAAGGCGAUUACAGGUACGGGCUCUGAGAGGAGAGGCCCGGAGAUGGGUACUGAGACAAGGACCCAGGCUCUAUGGGGCGCAGCAGGCGAGAAAACUUUGCAAUGUGCGAAAGCACGACAAGGUUAAUCCGAGUGAUUUCUGCUAAAGGAAUCUUUUGUUAGUUCUAAAAAUACUAGUGAAUAAGGGGUGGGCAAGUUCUGGUGUCAGCCGCCGCGGUAAAACCAGCACCUCAAGUGGUCAGGAGGAUUAUUGGGCCUAAAGCAUCCGUAGCCUGUUCUAUAAGUUUGCGGUUAAAUCUAUACGCUUAACGUAUAGGCUGCCGUAAAUACUGUAGAACUAGGGAGUGGGAGAGGUAGACGGUACUCGAUAGGAAGGGGUAAAAUCCUUUGAUCUAUUGAUGACCACCUGUGGCGAAGGCGGUCUACCAGAACACGUUCGACGGUGAGGGAUGAAAGCUGGGGGAGCAAACCGGAUUAGAUACCCGGGUAGUCCCAGCUGUAAACGAUGCAGACUCGAUGAUGCAAUGGCAUAGAGCUAUUGCAGUAUCGCAGGGAAGCCGUUAAGUCUGCCGCCUGGGAAGUACGUACGCAAGUAUGAAACUUAAAGGAAUUGGCGGGGGAGCACCACAAGGGGUGAAGCCUGCGGUUCAAUUGGAUUCAACGCCGGA